rnacentral:tRNA from 1 species
GGUGUCCUGGUGUAGUGGUUGUAAGUAUUCUCUCAAUUCAAUGUGAAAUGUCUCAAACUAAUUAAAUUCAAGAUCACGCCUCGUUUACAAUAUUGCAUUGCAAUUCAUAGCCGAGUAGGUCGCAAGUUCGAGCCUUGCGGACAUCA